UGUGGGCCUCCGGAGAGUUCAGUCUGCGCCGCUGAAGGUCGGCCGGAGCGCCGCCGAAGCUGCAGCAACACGCAGAUGUUGAAUGUGGCGCGGAGCUGUUGACCAUGAGAUGUUUGUCUAUCUGGACCGUCCUGCAGCGUCCUCCCUGCACACAGAGACAGGAGGACGAUUGUUCCGAUGCUUUCUGCACUUUUCACACAUGGAGAAAUCCAGAAUUAAACUUAAGUCCUCAGAAUCCUACAAAAAAACCUCUGACGGCACAUUCAGCCUCAGCAAACACAACUGCAACGCUCCAAUCUAAGGAUUUACUCUCUUUCUUACUUUCUUUGGAAGUUGUGAAACAUGAAAGACACCAAUGGGCUCCUGUGAUGAUUGCAUCAAUUAUCUUCAAUUUUGCAGCUUCACAGCUGCUGCUGGGUUUAUUUCUGCACGGCAGAAAAGAUCGGUAGGAUGAAUCACGUUUUUAAGAACUUUGUGCUGCACUAGAGGAAGCGGAGGCCAGAGUUACAGUUGAUCUUUCAGCUUCAGCUGCUGGUGUUUAAUGUAAACAUGGAGGAGGGCUCGUUACCCUGAAAAGCUGUGGUUCAUGGAACCAAUGAGGAAUUAUUUAAAGGGAACCGGUCCGUCUGCAGGGAACCUGUUUCUGGAACAGGAAGCUGGACCGGGGGAGGCGGCGGGUUCUGGAGCUGCCGUCUCUGUGACGGAGCGUCUGUGGUUCCACCUGGAGAACAGCAGCCUGCUAU